rnacentral:rRNA from 1 species
CCCGCCGAGUUGCAUUGUAUUUAUGUGAUCUCGUCUGAUCUCGGAAGCUAAGCAGGGUCGGGCCUGGUUAGUACUUGGAUGGGAGAGUUGCAUUGUAUUUCUUAAUGGGAAUAACUACAAACCAGGUAUGGGA